UGUUUCGGCUAGGGGGUCAUCCCGACUUACCAACCCGAUGCAAACUACGAAUACCGAAGAAUGUUAUCACGGGAGACACACGGCGGGUGCUAACGUCCGUCGUGAAGAGGGAAACAACCCAGACCGCCAGCUAAGGUCCCAAAGUCAUGGUUAAGUGGGAAACGAUGUGGGAAGGCACAGACAGCCAGGAUGUUGGCUUAGAAGCAGCCAUCAUUUAAAGAAAGCGUAAUAGCUCACUGGUCGAGUCGGCCUGCGCGGAAGAUGUAACGGGGCUAAACCAUGCACCGAAGCUGCGGCAGCGACACUAUGUGUUGUUGGGUAGGGGAGCGUUCUGUAAGCCUGCGAAGGUGUGCUGUGAGGCAUGCUGGAGGUAUCAGAAGUGCGAAUGCUGACAUAAGUAACGAUAAAGCGGGUGAAAAGCCCGCUCGCCGGAAGACCAAGGGUUCCUGUCCAACGUUAAUCGGGGCAGGGUGAGUCGACCCCUAAGGCGAGGCCGAAAGGCGUAGUCGAUGGGAAACAGGUUAAUAUUCCUGUACUUGGUGUUACUGCGAAGGGGGGACGGAGAAGGCUAUGUUAGCCGGGCGACGGUUGUCCCGGUUUAAGCAUGUAGGCUG
rnacentral:rRNA from 1 species